GUUUUAAUGUCCUUUCUUUUUUCUUUUUUGCCACAGCAGCUUGCCUGAUCUUGGCAUUAUUUCUGAAACUUGGAAGACAAAAGAGGAGGAGGCAGAGAACAUACUGAGGUUCACCGUGGCAGGGAAAAGGUGAGAAGAAGAAUAUUUGAAAUCUUACCUGUAAUGGUAAAAUCUUACCUGAGAUGGACAAUCAGAGACAAUGCUGUUCAGCUGGUAGAACUGCGUUGCUGACUGAGUCAGUGUUAGGAUUUUUGUGAAAUUCAUAUUGCUUCUGAUGGUUUUGCCUGCUGGUGAUAAAAGAGGGAAUAUGUGAAGAGUGAUAAAGGUGGAGCAGCUUCCAUGUGAUGAAGGAAAUUUGACACUCUUCAGCCUGGAGUAGAAUCAGCUGAC